rnacentral:rRNA from 1 species
AUACGGAGGACGCGAGCGUUAUCCGGAUUUAUUGGGUUUAAAGGGUGCGUAGGCGGAUGAUUAAGCGUGAGGUGAAAUGCCACUGCUCAACAGUGGAACUGCCUCGCGAACUGGUUGUCUUGAAUGCUCCUGCCGUGGGAGGAAUGUGUGGUGUAGCGGUGAAAUGCAUAGAGAUCACACAGAACACCGAUUGCGAAGGCAUCUCACGAAGGGGUGAUUGACGCUGAGGCACGAAAGCGUGGGGAUCAAACAGGAUUAGAUACCCUGGUAGGCCACGCAGUAAACGAUGAUGGCUAACCGCUGGAUCCAUCGGUUCAGUGGCCAAGCGAAAGCGAUAAGCCAUCCACCUGGGGAGUACGACCGCAAGGUUGAAACUCAAAGGAAUUGACGGGG